rnacentral:lncRNA from 1 species
GCAAUGCCAGUUGAAUGACAAAGGAUGUGAUAAUUACAACCGUGCAUGUGCGGAGUGGGAAGUGCAAUGCCAGUUGAAUGACAAAGGAUGUGAUAAUUAUGACCGUGCAUGUGCGAAGUGGGAAAUGCAAUGCCAGUUGAAUGACAAAGGAUGUGAUAAUUACGACCGUGCAUGUGCGGAGUGGGAAGUGCAAUGCCGGUUUAAUGAUAAAGGUUGUGGGGACGGCGAUACGUAACGCCCACAAUUUCCUAAAAAUUCAGAGGUGUG